rnacentral:tRNA from 1 species
GGGGAUGUAGUUCAGAUGGUAGAACACUCGCUUAGCAUGUGAGAGGCACAGGGAUCGAUACCCCGCAUCUCCA